GCUGUUGACGAAUGAGAGCGGACUGUGGCUUAGCGCAUGCGCAUUAAAGAAGGGCCUAGGCUUCGCGGACAAUCCCAGCCGUCCUGGCCGGCGUGCUAGCUUGAGGGAAGUGAAGGAUUGAUAGGACCAAGAUGAGUUUGUUUGGGUCAACAUCAGGAUUUGGAACUGGAGGCACCAGCAUGUUUGGCAGCACUGCUACAGAUAAUCACAACCCGAUGAAGGAUAUUGAAGUUACUUCCCCACCUGAUGACAGCAUAGGUUGUUUGGCUUUCAGCCCACCAACAUUGCCGGGUAAUUUCCUUAUUGCAGGAUCAUGGGCAAAUGAUGUUCGUUGUUGGGAAAUCCAAGAUAACGGACAAACUAUUCCAAAAGCCCAACAGAUGCAUACAGGACCAGUACUAGAUGUUUGCUGGAGUGAUGAUGGAAGUAAAGUGUUCACAGGGUCCUGUGACAAAACAGCCAAAAUGUGGGAUCUUAACAGUAAUCAAGCAAUACAAAUCGCACAGCAUGAAGCUCCUGUAAAGACAGUCCAUUGGAUUAAAGCACCAAAUUAUAGUUGUGUGAUGACUGGAAGUUGGGAUAAAACAUUAAAGUUUUGGGAUACACGAACCCCCACUCCAAUGAUGACGCUGCAGUUGCCUGAACGAUGCUAUUGUGCCGAUGUGAUAUAUCCCAUGGCUGUUGUUGCUACUGCAGAAAGGGGCUUGAUAGUUUAUCAGUUAGAGAAUCAGCCUUCUGAAUUUAGAAGGAUAGACUCUCCACUUAAACAUCAGCAUCGCUGUGUGGCUAUUUUCAAAGACAAAGUGAACAAACCAACAGGCUUUGCCCUUGGAAGUAUCGAAGGAAGAGUUGCCAUUCAUUAUAUUAACCCACCAAAUCCCGCCAAAGACAACUUUACAUUCAAAUGCCAUCGAUCCAAUGGUACAAACACAUCUGCACCUCAGGAUAUCUAUGCAGUAAAUGGUAUUGCCUUCCAUCCUGCCCAUGGCACUCUUGCAACUGUGGGGUCUGAUGGCAGAUUCAGUUUCUGGGAUAAAGAUGCACGGACAAAGCUAAAAACAUCUGAACAGCUAGACCAGCCAAUAUCUGCUUGCUGCUUCAACCAUAAUGGCAACAUAUUUGCAUAUGCUUCUAGUUAUGACUGGUCAAAGGGGCAUGAAUUCUAUAAUCCCCAAAAGAAAAACUAUAUUUUUCUGCGCAACGCUGCUGAAGAACUAAAACCUAGAAAUAAAAAGUAUUAAAUCUUAUGGAAGUCAUUAUGAUUCUAGCAGCAGCUGCUCAGGUUCAUGGAAAAGGUGCUGACGCAUGUGCUUAGAGAUCAGUUAUUUGUGUGCAUCUCAGAAUAAUAGAUCUUCAAAAGACCCCAAAAUUUUAGUUUGCACCGCUUGCUGGUGCCACAAGAACUUCAGCUGAGGAAGGAAUUUCUACCAGAAACUUAACUAACCGUGCCUGUCAGUUGGGCUUCUUCCUUGUGCUUUUUAUGAGGCCAAAAUAAGAACAAUCAAAAAAGAAAGAAAAAUGCUCAGUUGUCUUUUCCUUUCCCCUGUUUUUACAUGUUGUUUUUAUGGGAACUGCAUUCACUUUAAUUGUUGUACAUUGGCCAUUUGUUCCUACCUAUACUUGAAGGCUGUGGGCCUAUAACCUGUGGCUUAAUUUCAAGUAAUCAUGCAUAGGAUCGCACUGUGCCUGACAACCGUAGUGCUCCCUCCUUUAACAGGACUUGGGACAGAAUUGUGGAAUAGUUAACAGUGAGAAAACAAACAGCUUAAAAUAUUUUAACAUCUCUCAAAGAUUUACAGUAUAUGAACAAAUAUAAAAUCAUGAACAAAAUAUUUUUAAGUUCUUUUUACCACAGUUGGGGUCCUACAUUUUUGCCCUAACUUGGUUCUGGUGCCAUCUUUAUAAGUUAUUUAAAAAUUUACCUUUUUUUUCCUAGUAGGAAGUUAAGCAAGUGUCCUUAACAGCAAUCUGGUUGUUAUUACUCAUCUUCUUCAGCACAAUGUGAAGGUGCCUCAGUGGGGAUUUUAAGAAAUCAGUUUUCACAUUGUGGUCCAGUGAACUCCAUUCAGGAUAUCUAUCGAAAAGUCAACAAUUAUUUAUGCUUUGGCCUCGAACUUGAUUUAUUUUCUAAGAACAGACUUCAUAGCCUGGUUGAAUUAACCCGUAAACUUCAGGCCCCAGGGUUUCACAAGAUGCUUCUUUUCAACAAUGAUGGUGCUACUGAAUAGAGGAACAUUUUUUUCUAUAUGAGUUAUGUACGUGCUGGAAUUUGAACUGCUUACUAAGAAGCUCACUAAGCUGUCUAACAAUUUGCAAGCGGUCCAUGUUUUAAAAUAAAAGUUGGGCAUCUUAUCAGAACCUCUUAAUUGUCCCAAAUUGAUACAGAAAAGACAAUGAAUAGAUAAGAAAAUGCAGAUUGACAAUUUCUGAAAUAGGUUGCUACGCUGUGACAAAACUAUGUAGAGAGAUGAUGAACCUGCAUGAUGAUUUCACAAAACACUGGCUUUGCUUAUGGUAGAAAAGUUUUAUUUUACGAUUUUCACCAUGUGGAUUCUAUUCUAUACCCUGUUGUAUCAUAUCAUCAAUUUGUUCCUUUACCACACACACACACAAAAACCAAUAACUUGCCUUUAUUUCUCUUUAUUUCUGGCACUCUUUAUCUUUUAUUGAUCAAUUCUUUCCAGGUAUUAAAAAUAUUAUAUAGGAACUGCUAGGGGAAUCAUUUUAAUAAUUCUUCUCACAUGUUCAUAGAUGGCAGUUGUUGGUGCACUGCUGGCAAAACAAGGAUUAAUAGAGCUCUGCCACGCUCAGCAUUACACUCUGGUGUUGUACGUAGUAUAAGCAGACUGAAGUCACACAAAGAGCAAAUAGAGUACAAUUAUUUAUGGAAUGUUCUCUUCCUAAUUGUAGGUGAUUGACCAUAUGACUUACACUUCUUUAUCUGUCUAGAGAGUUGUUCGAGGGAACAAAUCCACGGUAUAACUUUUCAUUUGUUGAUGAUUCCUUGUAGAUAGACCUGAAAUGGAAAGGUCCCAGAAGCAUGUUAUCCUUCCUCUGCUAAUUGUUUAAAUCUGCAUUUAAGGUACUUCAGAAAUCAGUUUGCCCCAUCAACUUAAUGCACUUUUGCUGAUCAACUGUACAAGGGGUCCUUAAUUUAAGACCAUUCAAUGACAGUUCAAAGUUAUAACCGCCUUGAAAAAGGCGACAUCCACAAAGUUAGGACCAUCGCUUCACACAUACCCCACGGUUACCUGAUUGCAAUCUGGGCUCUUGGCAACCAGCUCAUACUUAAAAUGGUUGUGGAGUCUUGCUUUGUGACUUUCCCAGUCAGCUUCCAACAAACAAAGUCCACUGGGAACUUUGCAUUAAAAAUGGUCGUAAAAAUGGAUCUGGUCACAUGAUAACUCAUUUAAUGACUGAAUCAUUUCAUAACCAAAAUUCCAGUCAGAACUGUUGUAAGUUGAGAACUACACGCGUCCACAAUGUUUUGGUAAGUACAACUUCCAUGGCAGGCAUAACUGCUUUAAGGCAUUCGCAGAGUCCUUGGGCAUUUGGGACAAUGAUUACAACGACUGAUCACAAUAAAUUUGAGGCCAAUUGUUAAACUCACUGAAUAAUUGUUAUACUUGUUUUUAACUGAUACUCAUUUUGUUACAGAUAUUUUUGUUAACUGGUAUACAGUAUGGCAGUCAGCUUUGCUCGAACAGCCCUGUGAAAACUUUACAUA